UACCCCCUACUCCCCCCCAGUUCCAAGCACUUUGUAUACUUCGAAGGCUGUAUGACGGCCUGUCACAGUGCUUUCAAAGUGUGGGUGCGUACUGCGUACGCCAGGGUACAAGGUGAGGGUGUGCGGGGUGUCUGUCUGCGGGUGUCGAGCCUGCUGAGGUGGCUGUGACCAGCCCUGGAGGGAAGGCAAACCCCGCUUCUAGGGGAAAUGGUCCCUCACGCUGGCUGGGCACUAAACUGUGCCAGGUGUUCAGCUAAAAAUUAAGCGGAAUGAGUGAGCAGGAUUUUCAGAGUGACUUCCUACCUUUGUUUGGCUUAACAAGACAGACCUAGCGGUUGCUGUACUUGUCACAGUGUUUGAUUUGCUGUAGCAUGGUUCUGUUGUUUGGUUGGUUUUUUUGACAGGGUGGUAUCAGUGUGUUCUAGUAUAUUGAAAGCACAGGAAGUACAAAUCAAGUGCAGACUGACUGACACCUUUUAAAAUAUUAGUGUUUGUCAGAGCAUCCUGGUUGAAUUCUAGUACUGGUAGACAUAGUUGUUCUUAGCCACCCUGUUCCUGAUAAUUUGAGCUGAAAAAUUAUUCUAAACUUUCAGUCCAAAUAUAUCAUGUGAUGGUACAGACUAAAUAAAGGGUAAACUCUCAAGAGAGAGAUAACUUAUGGGCCUUUAAUGCAAUAUGAAAUAGAAGGUGAAAUAUUUCAGACAGGAUAUUUUAUUGCACACUACGUAAGGUCAUCUGGCAUCACAAUUGUGAAUAUGUUAUAAACACAUAAAUAUGAGAGUCAAGAGGAUGUUACAGAGGUAAGUGUGGUCUGGUGGUGAAUUUCUAGGAAAUGCAGGUAUGUAGAUUGUCUUAUCUGACAGUUCCCACAGUUAAAUUGUAAAUGCAAAACUUACCGUGCUUUCUAGAACUGUUAAUUAAAAAGCAGUACUGCUAGGUUCAAAUGUUUUAUUAAGUAAAUGUUCGUUCCUAUUCUUCAUUAAGGUACAAAUUAGUAAAAAUGGGUGCAUGUUUGAAUGUACAUUUUACCUCUAAUAUUGUAAUGGAAAAAUCCUGCCCUUGGAAACCCACACCUUUGCAUACAAAACAUGUAAUUCUGCUUAUGUGUUUAUUUACAAGCAUGUUUGUACAUAAAAUAAAUGCUCAUGUAGAUUUUGUGGAUGCAGUGUUUAUCUUGGUGAAAAGUUGGUCCCAGCUAUGUCAGUUACAGGGUGAAUUAGUGGCAGCUAUUCAGCAUUGUGAGAAAGAAAAUAAGAAAAGUAAAAAUAAUCAGUUUUAUGAGAACAAUAAUCACUGACCAAAAAAAACCAACCAGUUUUUACAAUAAAGCAAUAUACAACACUGGAGUUCUGGCUUAGAAAUGCUUCUGUUGAAGGCACGGCUCUUUCCUUAAGAGAUUCCUUUUGCAGAGAACUUCCCUCAGUCUUUUGGUGAAACUGUGUUCCCUGCUUUUUAUAAUUACUUGUUAGAGCACAUGCAGAUCUGGAACGGAACAGAAGAUUUUUGAACCUUUCCUGCUCUCAAGAAGUAUCCAUAAAAUCUACUGGCAACAAGUCAAAUGGCAGGAUGGUGUAAUGUAUUUCUGCUCUGGAGCUGACCAUGACUUUGAUUUAAGACUUUUAUUUUAUCAAACAGGUAUUUCUCUUUGUUUUUAAUAGCUUCGCUGUUAAACACUCAUGAAUUAUUGGUGCUUGCCUUUGAAAUUUGACAUUCUUACUAGCACUCAUUAUACCCUGGCUUUUAGUUCAAACAAUAUUGCUUUUAAUUGGACUCUAUUCUGUGGAUGAGUUGUUUUUCUAAAAAGGUCAUUAUCUGUGGGAUCCUUGCCUCAUUUGUUGAAGAAAUUGGAAGAAGUAUAGUGACUAGUGCUAGAAACUGGAAUAAAAGAAGAGCUUCAUAUGCAGACAGUUGAAUGCUACCCUGAUGAACUAGCGGUGUUUCUUUUGCCACUGCGUAUUUACUGUCUGAUGAGGAACCAGUCAGUUAAAAUAGAUUUUUCAUAAGAUGUCACUCAUUUUCAUGUCCCUUAUUUUGCAGUAUCCGUCUUAAGAAGCUCACUCUGAUUUGCAGACAUGCAGAGCUUUCACAAACAGAUGAACUCAGUGUAUCACCUGUAUUUUAAGCAGUCUCUGAAAAACUUCGUAUGUCUCUGAGCAGUCAAAGGUGUUGGAGAUAUUUGAUAUUUAUCUUUCCAUACCUCAGUUUCCCAUUGUAUAAAAUAGAGGUAAUAGAAAUACACUGUCUUAAAAAUGGGCUGCUAUGAAGUAAAUUCAUUCUUGUUUGGGAAGUAUUCAGAUAGACACAUGUAAUCUGGUCAUGUUAGACACACCCAUGAGUAGAAUAUAAAUGAAUCUGGAAAAUAACAUGAAAUAAAUAAGAUAAGGAGCCACAGUUUGAGCUGUGAAGACCUUGCAAAGUAUUGACCAGCCAGUUAGCCAGCAAACACCACGUGAUGUGUGCUGAUGUGCUGAACAAGCUGGGGGUCUGAAGGAAAACAGCAAGCCAUAGUUUAACUCAAAAUUGUGUCUCGCUUCAUAAAGAGAAGGCGAUCAAAUCAAUAAGAAGACAACCUAUUGGUAAAAUAUUAUUUAGGUGAUAUUUCAGUAUAGUUUAAGCCUGUUUAAAAGCUUUCAGCAGCUUGGGUUUUUUUUUUUGGUUGUUUUUUUUUUUUUUUUUUUUUUCAGUUUCACUCUGUAAUGAGCAUAUCAUUUGUUACUUCAGUUAAACCAUUUUUCCAUCAUUCCCAGUGACCAGUAUCUCAUAUAGAGGAAAAGGUGUAAAAAGGCUGUGAAGUUCUUGGUCUGUGUAUAAUGCUGUAUGUAGAAUGGUCAAUGAUCCCUCUCAUUCUUACUGCAAACUAAUUUAAAGUCUGUAAAGUAAGACCAGUCUAUUAUAUUAAUGGGUGUUACUGCAUGUAAAGUACUUGGUGAUUCUUGAGUUUUUCUCAUUUUGGAGCUGGUGUGGUUAAAAAAAAAAAAAAAUAGAGGGGUAGACUAUUUUCUGGAUUCUUGUCAUUCUCGGAAUGCUUGUUCAAAGAUUACCACUGUAUGGUGUAGACAGUUGUGUCAAUGGCUAUACAUGUGUUUUUAUACAGGUUCACUCUCAACAGCUGCUGGGCUGUUCAUCAGCUGACUGUGUCUGAUCUUACCUGCUAUUUCUUACAACCGUUUCUGUCGGACUUGAUAGCCACAGCAACCGACGGUCAUUAGCAACAUUAGCUCAUUUUGCCUCCUUCUCCAGGGCAUUACAACACACACUCCCAAACAGAACCUUGCAACAUUUUAUUGCUUAACUGUUUUUUUUGGUUUUGAUGAGGAAAAAUAAGAGAUUUUCUGCUAGGUUAGUUAGUUCAAUCCAAGCAGCAAGCUCUGGGGAAUCACUCUGUGGUAGUACAGGGAGCUCAGCCGCCCUGACCGCUGCGUUGAUAGAGCAGAGCAAGGGUCUGCAUAUCACUUACUGCAGUGCAAAGCCCCGCAAUUCACUUAAAAUGCUGAUGGAGGUAGGUUCACUCUUACGACCGACAGAUGAGCCCUGCGAGUCUUGCCAUGCUCACGUAAAGCAUCAUGGUCCCCAGCAUUACCCUGAGCGCUGCUCUGCCAGAGUUAGGAUGGCCUCACAGAGCCAUCAGAAGAGACCAGGUGCCCUGCUGCUCCAGUUAGUCUCUGGCGUUUUAGCUCAAAGCCACCUUGACUGGUGGAGUGAAGGGCAGUAGCUUUGCACUGGAGUAAAGGGCUGUGGGCACGCGUUCCCUUUUGCCAGCUCUCGUCAGGAGGAAUAUAUGUAGGUGGUAACACUUUACAUCAGCACAGCAUUAUUACCGAAGGCUAUUUCUGAAUGUGUUAAAAGACUGGUCUGUGCACUAGAUCACCUCCAGUUUGGGAACAUAUUCCCUUGUGCUGGCUCUGCUAUGGUGGCAGUAGCCUCUGGAAGAGGGACAGAGCAGACAAGUCAUAAUUUACACUACAGCAAUAAGGUUCACCAGAGCACCUCCUAAAUGAGGGGCCCUGAGUUCCCUAAGAUGAAAGCAGCAUAAUGCAGAAUGUUGCAGCUAAGAUCUUUGGGAUAUUGGGGCAUGGGUUUAAAGCACACCAGCAUGCAUUUUUCUGGGAUUUUUUUGGUUGUGUUAACUUCUCUGAAUUAAUUGAUUCUUUCUUCCUGCCAGGGAGGAGUUUUUGUCUGAAGACCAUAGAAAAUCUGCACACUCAUCUGGAGAUGAUCUUCUUAAAUGUGCAAUUACAAAAAUGCCUUCCUUUCGCUAAUGAUUUUAAGAGAAGAAUGCGCUUUACAGAUUCCUUCAUUUUCCUUGUUUGCUGCUUUUCCUUCACCAUCUGCCCAGCUGUGACCUUUCUGGGCUGGAAGUGCUACAGGAUCUUUCCUUCAGACCUCAUCUGCCUCAUUUUUAAGUGUUUGCUGUCAUGAUUCGUGCAAUUCUUGGCAAGAGAUCACUCCCUGACCAUGUGAUUUGGUGGAUUUUUGACACCUGUCUCUUGCUAUUUCAUCAUGUGUUGCAAACUUCUUCAUAUGAGAGUGGAAUCACUGGUGGGAAGUAUGGACUGCAUUAAUGAGUUCUGUUUUGCAGCUAAUCCAUGUCUAAUGAUUGAUGUGCAUAUGUAUUUUAGUUUCACUUGUCCUGUCUUCUAUCUCUGUUGCUAUUUUCUGUCACACUCCUACCUUUUGCUUUUUAUGUGCGUACCAAGAAACAGAUCCAGCUGGUCUAGCAGUUAGCUGCUGCUGAAGGAGGUAGAGACAUUGUCUUUCCCCUGCCCUGUCUGUACCGUACAUUCCCACUGCUUCCCUCUUGUGUCCCUCAGUCUUUGGUUGUCAAGUAAUAUGCCACAAACCAACCAGUGUUGUUGUAAUCAUGUUACUUGGAUCUAAAAUUAAUCUCUGACAUAAUCUCAUUAUAAAAUUUUUUCUGUGAAGAAAUGGAGAAUUGUGGAGACAAUUUCUUAUGUGUUUUGGGCUUCCUAACAUAGACAGUACAGAUCCACUAAUUGGUUUCAUUCAUUACAGAAUGGCAGAGGCUGGAAGGCUCCUCUGGAGAUCCACCUCCCAGUUCGGAAGAGAGUCAGCUGGAGCAGUCAAGUUUUGAAUGUCUCCCAAGGAUGGAGACUCCACAACCUCUCUGGGCAACCCGUGCCCGUAUUUGACCAUCCUGACAAUUUUUGUUUGUAAACAUCCCAAGAUACAAUGAAGGAACUACAGAUGCCACAGUACAUCCGAGGACACCCACUGGAUACAUGGGUUUGCUGCCAUGUGCAUUUUACCGAGAGCUCUAAUGAGAGAAUAACAAAACCCUUGCGAAGAUCUAAGCAAGUGCUUCAUUUUAGAUACUGAAAGUGAUUCUUCAAACUUUUUUUUUGUCCAGAUAAAAACCAGCGGAGUGCAAUAUUUUGUUUAUAAAUAUGUACAGUUAGUUUCCUGUAAGAAAUGAACACCUGUGUCUAGCCUUAGCUUAUUGAAAGCCAGAGUCCUGUUGAAGCAUUACUCAUUGGAGGACCAUUCCAGUAUCAUGAUGAAAGUUCACGAUCUGCAGGUUAGACUGAUGUAAUUUGAUUUGAGUUUUCCUUUAAAAUAGUCUGGGGGUUACAGCGUUAACAAAUGACAUCUGUCCAUUGAGUUGAGGGAAGGUAAUGCAACUGAAAGUGCUCACCUUCGUCCUGUGCUGUUGUCUUCAACCUGAUAACUAUAGGUAAAAAUUCUUAUUCCUGGGUUUAAGUAAGUGUUAGUAGUUUCCUUCCUGAGCAAUCUUUGCUUACUGGCUGUGGCUAAUUAUUUCCUCAUCCUAGAUUCCGAGGCUGCCUCUGAAUGAGAAAUUGAAGCAUUAACUUAGUUCAGAAACCCCAUUUAUGUAAUACUUUCCAAAUCCUUUUGUUACUAUAUUCAGGACAGAAAUAAUUGAUUUAUUUAAUUACUAUGACUUCUAUCUUUUAUCAUAAUAUUUUGGAUUUUUUUUGAUUGUUUUGCAGGAUGCUUUGCUUUGUUGUGAGAAUAGCUGAUUUCUUGGCUAAAUGUAGGUUUAAUUUUUAUGUAGCUAGCUUAAUAGCCGUGGUUUCUACAAUCUGUAUUUUGAUAGCGCUAUGAUAGUGCAGGUUAUAUCUCUGCCAGUUAAAAAAUCCUAUAGUGUUUUGUGACUGAAAACAGACGGAGACAUGCCCAACCUGUUGUACUGCGUUCAUUCAGGUGACGUGCCCCAAGAGUUACUUGACACAUCAGUAAAGAAUAAAUACUGAAAGCGACUGGGUUCAGUUUUUGUGAUGUCUCUGCCUGCCCAGCCCCUCUGAACAAAAUAUUUUUCUACAAAAAAGAAUUGUCAGGUAGGGUAUAAAGUUUGUAUGGUAUGAAUGGAUGAGUCAGAUUUUUUGAGAAGGCAGUUAAUGCCUCCCAAUAGACAGUACAGAGAGACAUCAUGGAUGAGGUAAGGUUCCUGAUCUAUGAAAUCGUUAGGGAGAGAGCUCUGCCAUCAACACAAGGACCUGUAUGACAGAAGGUAGGGUGACUUAUCCAGCUUGAAAUAUUAACAAAGAUGAGAGUGCUCUGAAAUAGGAAAUGAGAAUGGAAUGGGGUUGGGCAUCUUAGAACUGUAAUUAAAAUGCUCUAAAAACAAAAGUUGUUGUGGUUAGAGAUUCUUUCCCCAUGCUUGUUUCUGUUGCUUUUCUUGGUAAGUUGUCUCAAGGAGGGGUUUAAGUAAAGCUUCCGGGUGCCCGUGUUUUAGGUUGGGCUCUGCAAAGAAUGUGUCAGGAGAUGUUACGGUGCACGGUGGUACUCACAGCCCCCAAAAGGUGCCAGAGUUGGAGACAGUGCCUCAUACUCACCUGGAAGUCCUUAACAGACUUGUCUCCAUAGCCAGGAAUGGGCCUAAAUUGUAAUGUUAACUGUCUCAGAAUGUUGAGUUUUUUAACAAAAAAUAUUAUACGGGGGUAAUCUUAACUGUCAACUUGGGAUGUGUGUACUUUGCAUUGUACAUUGUUUUGGUUUAUGUACCAUUUGUCAUUAACAGUCUUGGCGUGACUGUUUCCCAGGUAGUAAAUAUAUUCUGGCAUAAUUAAAGCAGUUCCACUUCAUUUGCAGGCAAAACCUCAGAGAUGGUAUCUCUGGAGGGAGACCUUAGAACUGACCGAGAAUUUGCCAACUACUAUUUACCUGUUAACCAGAACGCCGGGUGCCACCUUCCUGAAUCACCGUCCCUGACCACUGCUGUAUUAACAUUUACAGUGACUGGCGCUGGUCCAUAGGUCAUUACUUUGGCAAUUGUAAAAAUUGAGUUAUAAAAAAUGACUGUAUUUUUUAAUCUUUUUUUUUUUUUUAGCUCAUUAUAUAUGUUCAGCUACAAAAAAAGGAGUUGGAGAAAGCAAUUUGAAGGCUUGUAUUUCAUCUAUGUGAAAAUCCAUGUAAAACAAUAUAACUUAGUUAAUUUUUAACAAGGUAGCUGACUUCCCUUAGCAAGGAGUCCAUAUGGGAUGCACUUGUGAGGAUAUGCCCAGUUAGCUCUGCUGCUGCAGCCAAUGUUUAUGAACAUAAACUCCUGCAUCCUGAUCCUGUUGCUGCUACUGUGUAAGCAGAUUGUUUAUCACUGAAGUUUUGGACAGGCACAGAAGCCUGGUUGUGUAAUUAAAGUUGUAGCAUCUGUACAAUAGUUAUACAUUUAAAAUUACUGUGCCUCAGUGUCACCUCCCUCUAUUGAUCUUCAAACCAGCACAAAAUGAAAUUGAAAAUACAAGCAGUUUAGGCAAAAAUUCCGUUUUGGCUCGUAAAGAAUACAGGAUACUGGGGAGUUUGUAGUGCAAAGGCAGGACUGCAGUAUUUUUUCCUAUCACAUAGGAAUGUUAUAAGCUGCACAUUAAUACGAUGUGAUGGGAAGGGACGUAAAUCUCUAUGGAUAAAAUGAAAUUAUGCAUGAGCAGUUAGCUUCUGCAGAAGAAGAGGCAUAGGUUGUAAACUCUGGGAAGCCCUUUUCCCAUGCCACCGAAUCAUUUAAAUUGCAGAGUAUUCUCUGGGGAACGUUAGAACUGCAAAAACCAGCCUGGCCAUAACUUUUUGUAAGGGUUAAAUUAAACACGACCAUUGACUGCUUGGAAAAUAAAGGCCCAGUUUGCAUUAA